AAUCCAUAGGUUAAUGAGGCGAACCGGGGGAACUGAAACAUCUAAGUACCCCGAGGAAAAGAAAUCAACCGAGAUUCCCCCAGUAGCGGCGAGCGAACGGGGAGGAGCCCAGAGCCUGAAUCAGCAUGUGUGUUAGUGGAAGCGUCUGGAAAGGCGCGCGAUACAGGGUGACAGCCCCGUACACAAAAGCGCAUGUGCUGUGAGCUCGAUGAGUAGGGCGGGACACGUGGUAUCCUGUCUGAAUAUGGGGGGACCAUCCUCCAAGGCUAAAUACUCCUGACUGACCGAUAGUGAACCAGUACCGUGAGGGAAAGGCGAAAAGAACCCCGGCGAGGGGAGUGAAAAAGAACCUGAAACCGUGUACGUACAAGCAGUGGGAGCCCCACCACUAAGCCAGUGGUGAACUCCACAUACGCAUCCUUUGCUGAGGAUACGGUUAACGGAGCGAAAGCGACGUUCAACCUCAAAAGAAGCAGAGGGGGCUUAGUGGUGGGGUGACUGCGUACCUUUUGUAUAAUGGGUCAGCGACUUAUAUUCUGUAGCAAGGUUAACCGCAUAGGGGAGCCGGAGGGAAACCGAGUCUUAAUUGGGCGUUAAGUUGCAGGGUAUAGACCCGAAACCCGGUGAUCUAGCCAUGGGCAGGUUGAAGGUUGGGUAACACUAACUGGAGGACCGAACCGACUAAUGUUGAAAAAUUAGCGGAUGACCUGUGGCUGGGGGUGAAAGGCCAAUCAAACCGGGAGAUAGCUGGUUCUCCCCGAAAGCUAUUUAGGUAGCGCCUCGUGAAUUCAUCUCCGGGGGUAGAGCACUGUUUCGGCUAGGGGGCCAUCCCGGCUUACCAACCCGAUGCAAACUGCGAAUACCGGAGAAUGUUAUCACGGGAGACACACGGCGGGUGCUAACGUCCGUCGUGAAGAGGGAAACAACCCAGACCGCCAGCUAAGGUCCCAAAGUCAUGGUUAAGUGGGAAACGAUGUGGGAAGGCCCAGACAGCCAGGAUGUUGGCUUAGAAGCAGCCAUCAUUUAAAGAAAGCGUAAUAGCUCACUGGUCGAGUCGGCCUGCGCGGAAGAUGUAACGGGGCUAAACCAUGCACCGAAGCUGCGGCAGCGAACGUAUCACCCAAGACAACUUUACGGAGUUGACGAUUGACGGAGCGAAGCGACGUCAAAGCGUUCAUUAAAGUCGAGUUGGCUUAGGGAUACGUUCGUUGGGUAGGGGAGCGUUCUGUAAGCCUGUGAAGGUGGCCUGUGAGGGUUGCUGGAGGUAUCAGAAGUGCGAAUGCUGACAUAAGUAACGAUAAAGCGGGUGAAAAGCCCGCUCGCCGGAAGACCAAGGGUUCCUGUCCAACGUUAAUCGGGGCAGGGUGAGUCGACCCCUAAGGCGAGGCCGAAAGGCGUAGUCGAUGGGAAACGGGUUAAUAUUCCCGUACUUGGUGUUACUGCGAAGGGGGGACGGAGAAGGCUAUGUUGGCCGGGCGACGGUUGUCCCGGUUUAAGCGUGUAGGUGUGUGUUCCAGGUAAAUCCGGUUCACUUUAACACUGAGGCGUGACGACGAGGCACUACGGUGCUGAAGCAACAAAUGCCCUGCUUCCAGGAAAAGCCUCUAAGCAUCAGGUAACAUCAAAUCGUACCCCAAACCGACACAGGUGGUCAGGUAGAGAAUACCAAGGCGCUUGAGAGAACUCGGGUGAAGGAACUAGGCAAAAUGGUGCCGUAACUUCGGGAGAAGGCACGCUGACACGUAGGUGAAGUGAUUUACUCAUGGAGCUGAAGUCAGUCGAAGAUACCAGCUGGCUGCAACUGUUUAUUAAAAACACAGCACUGUGCAAACACGAAAGUGGACGUAUACGGUGUGACGCCUGCCCGGUGCCGGAAGGUUAAUUGAUGGGGUCAGCGCAAGCGAAGCUCCUGAUCGAAGCCCCGGUAAACGGCGGCCGUAACUAUAACGGUCCUAAGGUAGCGAAAUUCCUUGUCGGGUAAGUUCCGACCUGCACGAAUGGCGUAAUGAUGGCCAGGCUGUCUCCACCCGAGACUCAGUGAAAUUGAACUCGCUGUGAAGAUGCAGUGUACCCGCGGCAAGACGGAAAGACCCCGUGAACCUUUACUAUAGCUUGACACUGAACAUUGAGCCUUGAUGUGUAGGAUAGGUGGGAGGCUUUGAAGUGU
rnacentral:rRNA from 1 species